rnacentral:rRNA from 1 species
CUUAAAGGAAUUGACGGGGCCGCACAAGCGGUGGAGCAUGUGGUUUAAUUCGAUGAUACGCGAGGAACCUUACCUGGGCUCAAAUGUAUGUUGACGUAUUCUGAAAGGGAUACUUCUUCGGACAAUAUACAAGGUGCUGCAUGGUUGUCGUCAGCUCGUGCCGUGAGGUGUCGGGUUAAGUCCCAUAACGAGCGCAACCCUAUCAUUAGUUGCCAUCAGGUCAAGCUGGGGACUCUAAUGAAACUGCCUACGCAAGUAGUGAGGAAGGUGGGGAUGACGUCAAAUCAGCACGGCCCUUACGUCCAGGGCUACACACGUGCUACAAUGGCCGGUACAAAGGGCAGCUACCUGGUGACAGGAUGCUAAUCUCAAAAGCCGGUCUCAGUUCGGAUCGGAGUCUGCAACCCGACUCCGUGAAGCCGGAAUCGCUAGUAAUCGCGCAUCAGCCAUGGCGCGGUGAAUACGUUCCCGGGCCUU